UGUCCAGGGAUGGGAAUCGAACCCACAGUGUUCCGCUUACCGGGCAGAUGCCAUGUCCACUAAAUCUCCAGGGU
rnacentral:tRNA from 1 species